GGGGCCAUAGUUAAAUGGAAAAAUAUAUCGUUCGCAACGAUAAGAUGUGAGUUCAAUUCUCACUGGCUCCA
rnacentral:tRNA from 1 species